CCAUCUUUUGAAGAAAACAUAAUCACCCCAGUAUUUUGGUGCUUGUGACUUCGAGGUCAGAGAGUCUGACCACAAGAGUACUUUCCUUGGAGAAGAUUCACAUAUCUCUUUGACUUGUUUUACAUUUUGCAGGAAGCAUCCAAGCUUCAUUCCAGUCCGUCAGGUGGCCUUCAGAUGGUCUUAGGAUUGAUUGCAUGAGUUCAAUCCUCGAUGCGUACUGAGGAAGCCUACAAGAAGGUAGCACCGUGAUGUUCCAAGGCUGUCAUGACUGCUUCCCCUGUGCAAUUUGCUGCAUCGAUCACUUGAAUUUGAUCUAGCAACUCUUGCAUGCUUCUGUAUUUAUGUGCUUGUCGUAAGUAUGAGACAAUUCCCAUAAUUCCUCCACUUUGUGUUUUCUGCAACUUUGUGAUCGCAGGUGAGCCAAGUAGAACACGCUGCUGAUUUGUGAUUGAAGGUGAGCUAAACCGAGCAUUCUGCAGACUUGUGGCUGGAGGCAGCGUAACAUCUUGGCUUUGGUGUUGCACAAAGAUUCCUCCAGAGCAAUUCUUCACUUCGUGAGCCCAAAAACUUUGCAAACUCAUAGUUGGUGUGAACUAGCAGCCCAGGCCUUCACUUGACACUCGUUUUUGCCACCCAUAUGCAGAACGCACCGCGAUACAGGCAUCAAAAACAAGUGCAGUGCACCCUCUAGUUUGGACCUUGCUUCCGCCACCCAUACGCAGGACGCACCUCAGUAUAGGCAUCGAAAGAUGGCCAAAAACACAGGUGAGCCCCUUCCCUUGCCGAAAUCUCUUCUCCUCUUUCAUCUCUGUGAACGCGCUUCUUUUUUGUCUCCUUGGACCUGCACUGUUUGUUAACACAAAGGCAAAUGGAGGUGUAUUUGGUUGUUUUGUUUUCUGAUUUUGGUGGGCAACAAUGAGGGAUUUGAGGCUUUGUGAUUUGGUGUAUUUGGCUUUGGGGGUAUGGAGAAUUUGUUUCUGAUGUUGUUUGGAAGGGUUAUAGAGCCACAUAGCAAUAAGCAGAUGAAGGACUUUCUACACUCAUGGACACAUCAGCAACGAUAAAGGAAAAGUACCAGUAAAGACGAUGGAGAAGUGACCAACAGGAUACCUGAACUUGAUGCUCUCCUGUCGUCGGGUUGUAGUCUCCAGGUUUGUGUUCUUUAUAUAGGAGGCAACGAAAGCUCUAGAAGCUGGAUAAACGCUCGUUUGAAAUUUGAAAUUCCCGAGGCUCACGUGGAUAAGCUGCUGAACAGAGAUUUCCUCCUUGACUCCGAUAUUGAACUUAGACACCCCCUGCCACUUUAUUCUUAUCUCACUUUGAGAUAUUUGAAUCACAAUUUGAAUGCUUUCCUUUGUUUCUGUUUUUUUUUUUUUGUAGCUUUUCCCCCGUUGAAACUUGGUCAAACAUUCAACUUGUUUGAAUUUGAGAAAGAGAUAAUUUGUAA